rnacentral:rRNA from 1 species
UACGAAGGGAGCUAGCGUUGUUCGGAAUCACUGGGCGUAAAGCGCACGUAGGCGGAUGUGUCAGUCAGGGGUGAAAUCCCGGAGCUCAACUUCGGAACUGCCUCUGAUACAGCACGUCUUGAGUCCGAUAGAGGGUGGGUGGAAUUCCGUAGUGUAGAGGUGAAAUUCGUAGAUAUCGGGAGAACACCAAUGCGAAGGCAGCUCGCUGGGACGUCACUGACGCUGAGACGCGAAAGCGUGGGGAGCAAACAGGG